rnacentral:rRNA from 1 species
UACGUAGGGUGCAAGCGUUGUCCGGAAUUAUUGGGCGUAAAGCGCGCGCAGGCGGCUUCGCGCGCCCGACGUGAAAGCCCCCGGCUUAACCGGGGAGAGUCGUUGGGGACGGCGGAGCUUGAGGGCGGGAGAGGUCGGUGGAAUUCCCGGUGUAGUGGUGAAAUGCGUAGAGAUCGGGAGGAACACCUGUGGCGAAGGCGGCCGACUGGGCCGACCCUGACGCUGAGGCGCGAAGGCGUGGGGAGCGAACGGG